rnacentral:rRNA from 1 species
ACCCGCGAACUUAAGCAUAUCAAUAAGCGGAGGAAAAGAAACUAACAAGGAUUCCCCUAGUAACGGCGAGUGAAGCGGGAAGAGCUCAAAUUUGAAAUCUGGUGGCCUCAGGUCAUCCGAGUUGUAAUCUAUAGAAGUGUUUUCCGUGCUGGCUCAUGUACAAGUCCCUUGGAACAGGGCGUCAUAGAGGGUGAGAAUCCCGUCCUUGACAUGAACUACCAGUGCUCUGUGAUACAUUUUCAACGAGUCGAGUUGUUUGGGAAUGCAGCUCAAAAUGGGUGGUAAAUUCCAUCUAAAGCUAAAUAUUGGCGAGAGACCGAUAGCGAACAAGUACCGUGAGGGAAAGAUGAAAAGCACUUUGGAAAGAGAGUUAAACAGUAUGUGAAAUUGUUGAAAGGGAAACGAUUGAAGUCAGUCGUGCUCUUUGGAUUCAGCCGGUUCUGCCGGUGUACUUCCUUUGAGUGGGGUCAACAUCAGUUUUGAUCGCUGGAUAAAGGCUGGAGGAACGUAGUACCCUCGGGUAAACUUAUAGCCUCCUGUCACAUACAGUGGUUGGGACUGAGGAACGCAGCACGCCUUUAUGGCCGGGAUUCGUCCACGUACGUGCUUAGGAUGUUGACAUAAUGGCUUUGAGCAACCCAUCGUGGGACCCGGACCGGAGAA